rnacentral:miRNA from 1 species
UAGGCCCGCAGAUCUGAUGAU